rnacentral:rRNA from 1 species
AACUCCGGGAAACCGGGGCUAAUACCGGAUAACAUUUUGAACUGCAUGGUUCGAAAUUGAAAGGCGGCUUCGGCUGUCACUUAUGGAUGGACCCGCGUCGCAUUAGCUAGUUGGUGAGGUAACGGCUCACCAAGGCAACGAUGCGUAGCCGACCUGAGAGGGUGAUCGGCCACACUGGGACUGAGACACGGCCCAGACUCCUACGGGAGGCAGCAGUAGGGAAUCUUCCGCAAUGGACGAAAGUCUGACGGAGCAACGCCGCGUGAGUGAUGAAGGCUUUCGGGUCGUAAAACUCUGUUGUUAGGGAAGAACAAGUGCUAGUUGAAUAAGCUGGCACCUUGACGGUACCUAACCAGAAAGCCACGGCUAACUACGUGCCAGCAGCCGCGGUAAUACGUAGGUGGCAAGCGUUAUCCGGAAUUAUUGGGCGUAAAGCGCG